UUUGUUAUUAUUUGGGAUCUUAUACGAGUAUAUAACGUAAUUAUUAUACUGUCGAUUCUCGAACGUAACCGACGGGAAAAGGAUUGAUGAUAGUGUACACAAGCAGAUACCGGUUAUCUUAUAUUUUUGCAUAAAAUUUAGCUUAUUUUGUCGUACAUUAUAAAACUGAAUCUGAUAACAGAAAUUAACAAGAAUAUUCAUCUAAUAUGAUUUGUUUCAGUGACUAGUAAGUGUAGGAAUUUAUAUGCAUUGUUCGUGAAACAAUGUAUGUCUAUUUCGACAAAGUUCCUAGCAUUAGAUUAGAAACGUGUAAGCCUGAUUCGUAUUGCCAAUCGUAUCUCAUCUCUUUUUUUUCUUUCUCCUUUAUAAAUUCUAGUUCCCACCAUAUUGAAAUUAUCUGCUGUUUAUUCGUGGAUCGUUAGAUUGCAAGAGUCACGAUACUUCUGUCUCAUCACAAAGAAAGAAUUUGUAUUUAUAUAUUACUCAUUCGAGAUGUACACAUUGGUUAACAUUGAAAGAGUACGAAUAUUCAAGGAGAAUUAAAUUGAAUAACAAAAUUAAAAAAAAAUCAUUUCUCUCUCGACGAAAAAUUUCUACGUUUCUGCAUUAGAUAAUAGCUAUACGAAUGAUUUUACUUCAUGAAAAUAUCAGUUUAAAUCGAAAAGUAUCAAUACCGAAAGGAAUAUCAUCUCUCUCUCUCUCUCUUUCUCUCUUGCGUUUCUUACAUUUCGUACAUUUAUAUAGAAAAUGUAAAAUGUCAGCAACAGAUCUCCCCAUAUAGACGAGAUAUUGAGCGAUAGAGAAAUUCUAGAGUAUUUUCAAUAAAUUUCUAUGAUGAAAACAGUUCGCAAUGGACUCGCGAUAACAAAUAAUCGAGAAAUACUUAAAACAAUGUGAAUCAUCAUAGUUAAGUCACGUUUUCAUUACGCAUUAUACCAGAUAUUGUGUUCUUCGAAUGAUAUAAAUCGAAAUUUUUUUUUCUGGAAGGAAAAUCAAUAACAAACUUUUUAUCAAUGAUCGAUAAUAAUUGUUAAAUUGAAAAUAAUAACAAUAAUAUAACGACAUAACAAAUUGCUAAUAGAAAAAUUAAUUAACGAAUAGCGCUUAGAUCAACAUAUUCUUUUAUGAACAUGGAUCAAAAGUAUUUGUGUGUAUGUAUAACAUAUUGUAACUUUAUGCAUAUUAGAAUCUUUCAGUAAACGUAAAUGCUAUAGUGUUAUCGUUCACUCGUUACUUAUUAUUUGUUUUUUUUCCCUUGAACCAGUUUGUAUUAGCAAAAGAAAUGCGUUACUGCACGACAUACACAAAAUAUCACUAGUGAUUAUCAAGAAUCAUGCUUUGAGAAAGCUCGUUUCUCGCUGUAUAUUAGCAAGUGUCAAGUAAAUGUUUGCUUCACUUUGUAAUGUCAAACUACAUGUGUACGCAUAGUGCAUAUCAUUUAUUGCGCUCGUAAUGUUUUCCUUUUUAGCGAAUUAUUUAAUAAACGGAAUAGAAAAUCAUAUAGAUAGUGACAAACACGUUGAGAAGAGAAUGAACGAUGAGCCUUCAAUCUAUGUAACUAAUCGAAAGGUAUAAUAGUAAAUACGAAACAUUCUGAUUAAUUGUUUUCGACAGAUAGGUUGAAUUCUCAAGAUCGUAUUUUCGAUAAAUUUUCAUAAGAUUUUGGUUCUCGCAUGUGUCACGAUCGUAACGCAAGUUUAUCGAUAAAUUAUACAAAUCAAUACUCUUGGGAAUAUGUGUCGAUCGGGGUUGGCUAAGGUUUAGUAUUUUGUUACGUGGAAACGUUCGAAGUAUGUACAUAUAUACAUAUGUAUGUCUGCAAACUGCAGACGAAAAUCCGUAAGAGAACAGCUGGUUUGGCCGAGAUAAUCCGAAAGUACGGAACUGGAAAUUUGAGGCGUUAGAGACAAAGAAACGAAAGAAGGUGGAAGAAUUCUAGGAAGAAACCUUUAUUUUUACUGACACGAGUUUGUGUUUUCUUUACGUCAUCUCACAGUUUGCUCGAACCUUUACAAUACGAUAAGAUUUCGAUUUUCGAAGUAUAUCUUAUAUAAGAGAAAAUUUCUAUCGUAUUGAUAAUGUACAUCGCAAUCUUUGCGUUUUCUUUCACGCUUAUUAUCGAUUCAAACAAUUCCAAGAUAAAUUUAUUUUUUGUACCAUUUAUUCGAAGUAUAAGUUGUAAAUUGAUAAAAUAUUCACUUAGAAAAUUCUAUAGAGAUUACGAGGUAAUGGAUCAUGCUAAAAUAUUGAAAUCUCUUUGUUAAUCAUAUUCAUAUAUCAAACAUUUACAGUUGGCAUUUCAAUAUGGCAACGAUGUCAAAUACAUACGCAUAUAAAAUUAUUCAGACAAAAGAAAAAAAAAGAAAAAAAGAAAAAGAAAAGAAAAAAGAACAUGUAGAUAUAAAUAUAAAAAGAAAGAAAGCAUAAGAAUAAAACGAUAAGAAAGGAAAAUAAUAAAAGUUAGUACCAGGUAAAUCAAAAAUCUCGUAUCGGCUCGAAGUUGGAAGGUUUAACCGUGACUUUAGCGAAUCGCGAGGCUCUUGAAGGAUCGUCUUGAGAGGAGGGGAUCAUCGACGGAUGGAAA